rnacentral:rRNA from 1 species
GAUGAACGCUAUCUAGGGGCUUAACACAUGCAAGUCGAGGGGCAUCAGGAAGAUUGCUUGCUUUCUUUGCUGGCGACCGGCGCACGGGUGAGUAACACGUAUCCAACCUGCCCUUUACUCGGGGAUAGCCUUUCGAAAGAAAGAUUAAUACCCGAUGGCAUAAUGAUUCCGCAUGGUUUCAUUAUUAAAGGAUUCCGGUAAAGGAUGGGGAUGCGUUCCAUUAGGUUGUUGGUGAGGUAACGGCUCACCAAGCCUUCGAUGGAUAGGGGUUCUGAGAGGAAGGUCCCCCACAUUGGAACUGAGACACGGUCCAAACUCCUACGGGAGGCAGCAGUGAGGAAUAUUGGUCAAUGGGCGCUAGCCUGAACCAGCCAAGUAGCGUGAAGGAUGAAGGCUCUAUGGGUCGUAAACUUCUUUUAUAUAAGAAUAAAGUGCAGUAUGUAUACUGUUUUGUAUGUAUUAUAUGAAUAAGGAUCGGCUAACUCCGUGCCAGCAGCCGCGGUAAUACGGAGGAUCCGAGCGUUAUCCGGAUUUAUUGGGUUUAAAGGGAGCGUAGGUGGACUGGUAAGUCAGUUGUGAAAGUUUGCGGCUCAACCGUAAAAUUGCAGUUGAUACUGUCAGUCUUGAGUACAGUAGAGGUGGGCGGAAUUCGUGGUGUAGCGGUGAAAUGCUUAGAUAUCACGAAGAACUCCGAUUGCGAAGGCAGCUCACUGGACUGCAACUGACACUGAUGCUCGAAAGUGUGGGUAUCAAACAGGAUUAGAUACCCUGGUAGUCCACACAGUAAACGAUGAAUACUCGCUGUUUGCGAUAUACAGUAAGCGGCCAAGCGAAAGCAUUAAGUAUUCCACCUGGGGAGUACGCCGGCAACGGUGAAACUCAAAGGAAUUGACGGGGGCCCGCACAAGCGGAGGAACAUGUGGUUUAAUUCGAUGAUACGCGAGGAACCUUACCCGGGCUUAAAUUGCAGUGGAAUGAUGUGGAAACAUGUCAGUGAGCAAUCACCGCUGUGAAGGUGCUGCAUGGUUGUCGUCAGCUCGUGCCGUGAGGUGUCGGCUUAAGUGCCAUAACGAGCGCAACCCUUAUCUUUAGUUACUAACAGGUUAUGCUGAGGACUCUAGAGAGACUGCCGUCGUAAGAUGUGAGGAAGGUGGGGAUGACGUCAAAUCAGCACGGCCCUUACGUCCGGGGCUACACACGUGUUACAAUGGGGGGUACAGAAGGCAGCUAGCGGGUGACCGUAUGCUAAUCCAAAAAGCCUCUCUCAGUUCGGAUCGAAGUCUGCAACCCGACUUCGUGAAGCUGGAUUCGCUAGUAAUCGCGCAUCAGCCACGGCGCGGUGAAUACGUUCCCGGGCCUUGUACACACCGCCCGUCAAGCCAUGGGAGCCGGGGGUACCUGAAGUACGUAACCGCAAGGAUCGUCCUAGGGUAAAACUGGUGACUGGGGCUAAGUCG